AUAUCAAUAAGCGGAGGAAAAGAAACCAACAGGGAUUGCCCCUAGUAACGGCGAGUGAAGCGGCAACAGCUCAAAUUUGAAAUCUGGCUUCGGCCCGAGUUGUAAUUUGCAGAGGACGAUUCUGGCGCGGCAUCUACUGAGUCCCCUGGAACGGGGCGCCAUAGAGGGUGAGAGCCCCGUAAGGUAGGACGCCAAGCCUUUGUGAAUCUCCUUCGACGAGUCGAGUAGUUUGGGAAUGCUGCUCUAAAUGGGAGGUAAAUUCCUCCUAAAGCUAAAUACUGGCCAGAGACCGAUAGCGCACAAGUAGAGUGAUCGAAAGAUGAAAAGCACUUUGAAAAGAGGGUUAAACAGCAC
rnacentral:rRNA from 1 species